CUGCCGACACUCACAAAGCUAAACACUCAAAAUAUAACCUUAAAAGACUAAAGACGUUUUUAUUUUGAAGGUAAAAAAAGAAAGAAAAGAAAAUAGGAAUACGUAAGGGGGCAAAAAUUUCGUGUAAAUAGUAUAUUUGCAUUUCGAUGGCGUUGUUAUGGACACUCGGCAUCAGUUGGAGUUGGAGACAGCUCGUUGAAAGAGCUUUCAAGCCAAUUAAAUUGUGCUGCCGACUGAUCACCAGGCCUAUACGGAAUCAGCGUGGGAUCAACAAAUGCACAGUGCUCUGCAGCUUCAUCGGGAGUUUGCUGUCAUUGAUGAGGAUGCACCUUUGAGGGACAUGCAAAUAUUUCGCAUGUAAUGUGUGGCAAGAUGCAACCAGAUACCUUGAUUGUUAAAGACUGGAUGCUUCAAACUUUUUCAUGGUGGAGAAGAGAGAUUGAAGAUGGAAUGACUGGUGGAUAAAAACUCUCCAGUGUUAGUAACAUUACAGAUAAUUUAGUCAAUUAUCAGAUUACAAUACAUGUUUGAUUUCAGUGUUGCACGUGGAACACUAGGUUAGACCUACAUUGUAAAGGCCAGGGGAACAUACAAAUGAGAGGGGCACAGAAGUCACUUUGGCAUUUUAAUAUUUUUAUAUUAUAUACAUUGCAGCAAGUGAGAAGAUGCUUGCAAUAGAUCUUCCAGGUAUUUACUGUGGCAUUUCUGCAGAUUAUAUGAGUUGUAAAUAUUGUCAAACAAAUGUUUUUGUUUUGUCAGAAUGAUGAACUUUUGACAUAGCAAAUUAAGUAAAGCUUAAGUAAACCAUGCUUGUUGCAUUAAUUUGUUUUAAUACUGUUCUACGUUAUAUUUUCCUCUUACAAUGUGAUGCCGGUACACCAUAUGAAAAUUGCUUUUACCAGAAUGGUUCAAGUCCUGAUCAAUUGGAUGGUGUGCAGGGGAAUAAGAAUCAAAGAGGGGGUAAUUGCAGCCUUCAGUGCAUUCCUUCUUUUUUAACAUGACUAUUUUCACCCUACAUGAAAAAUAUGCUCACUUCCUGCAAUGUUCUAUUGCAAAGAUAUGAGUCAAGACUCAUUCAAAGACGUCCUGUGUUCCAGAAGAGACUAUUACAAAUUUAAAUUGUCAUUUUAAACUCACCCUCAUGAUGUUUCAAACCUGUAUGACUUUCUUUUCUUAUGUGGGGACAAAAAAGGAUAUAUUUUAAAUGAAUAUCACAGCCCACACUUUCAAUGCGUUCAGUGGAUAGAGGCUCAAUUUAAAGCUUCGAGGACCCAAAAGAUGUCAUAAAGGUAGUGCAUGUGAUUGUGCAUCUAAUUUCCAGUCAUCAGAAGGCAUGCAAUAAUACAUUUUUUGUGAGAAACAACCUGAAAUGAUAGAAGCUCCACGUGUUUGUUUUGUUGUUUUUUAAGCUUUAAAGUGAGGUACUGUUAACAGCCAUUGUGUUGAAAAGAUAGCCUGUGAUGUUCAUUAAAACCUGUCCUUUUAUGUGCUCCUAAAAUUUAUUUUGGGGUGAGUAUUAAAGGGUACUUAAGUUAAUAUGAAACAUGUAGUAAUAUUUUUUAAAGCAAAAUGGCCACAAAAAAAAAAAAAGUACCCUACUGUAUUUGAUGACAAAUUGUGAUU